GGAAGCGAGGGAAAGCGCAAUCUCUGUUGUCUGCCUUAGUCUCUGUGUUCGCCUCUAAAGGCAAUGACUCUUAGGUUGCCUCCCCUUUUCCCCCCUUAGCUACCCGCCCACACCCUGGGCGUGGUUCGGGGCGAGGAGGAAGGCCCCAGAGGAAGGGCCGCUCUCCGGCCGCAUCCGCACCUGUGACAGGGCGGCCCCUCCCUCUCCCGGCGGCGGCCGGAGCCUCGAGAAAGGGGCGGAGCUCGGCCCGGCCUCCUGGCUCUGAGCUGGUCCGGAGCGUGCACAGCCGGCAGUUCUGGUAUGAGUUGCUAAAACCAUGGUGAAAUGUUGCUCGGCCAUUGGAUGUGCUUCUCGCUGUUUACCAAAUUCCAAGCUAAAAGGACUGACAUUUCACGUAUUCCCCACAGAUGAAAACGUCAAAAGAAAAUGGGUAUUAGCAAUGAAAAGACUUGAUGCGAAUACUGUAGACAUUUGGGAGCCUAAAAAAGGAGAUGUGUUGUGUUCAAGGCACUUUAAGAAGACAGAUUUUGACAGAAGUGCUCCAAAUAUUAAACUGAAACCUGGAGUCAUACCUUCUAUCUUUGAUUCCCCAUCUCACUCACAGGGGAAAAGAGAAAAGCUUCAUUGUAGGAAAAACUUCACCCUCAAACCCCUUCCAGUCACAAACCACAAUCACCAGCUUGUUGGUGCUUCCUCGUGUAUCGAAGAAUUCCAGUCCCAGUUCAUUUUUCUUGGAAUAGCCUCUGGAUCCUGGAACAAACCAAUACACCGGUUCAACCUCAGCACCAAAUCAGGGAUGGGAAAGCAUGCACCCAACCGAUCACUGAUCACAUACCACGUACCCAGAGCCAUGUUAAUUGAGUCUGGCAAGAUGUCACAUCUGGCACAUAGCCGUAGUCAGGGCUACUGCUUGGCUGAAUUUGCUUUCGUCUGCUGUCAUCCUGCAGCAUCUAUCUAAAUAUGCAGGAGCCAGAGUGAGACACGUUGUUGACCCUGAUCUACAACGCCAGACCCAGAGAUUUCGAUUCACUGAAUGCUGAAUUACUAUUGAAUAUUCAAACACCUGAAGGCCAGACUUAAAUCAUUCCAUUCAGGAGCUCCUACUGGGGCAGUUAGAGGCUAAAGGAUAAAAUGUGAACUCACCCUAUGUCUGAAGCUGGGGAAAGCCCAUAGUGACUCAUCACCACAAUCUGGAUCUGUCUGAUGCUACCGCCAAGCAUAAACAGGGUGGCUGAGCACGCAGGGUGAAGUCACCUCACCGCAUAUAUAGCCAAGACAUUCAGGAGAAAUCCCAGCAGAAGACGCCCUAGCAAGCCUAGCAGGAGAGUCAUACAGGCCAUUCCAGAAGCGGCACCUUCAAAUCGGCGCCAACCACAGAACUUAUAGAUUCCCUGAAGGAGUAUGUGCCCCAUUCCUUCUGACAGAGAACGCCACCCCCAGGCCACCGGGAAAUAAGCCUCGCAGCGCCAGCCGCUACACUCUCAGCCUGACUCAGGGUGCAGGCCCGAUACCAAUCACUCCCCAUGCUACCUGUAAUCCUGAUUCGCGGGAGUCGUGAUGGCAGCUUCCCAGAUUAUUCACACGGCCAUGUAAGGGGAACGCCUCCUCCAGACAGCUUCAGCGGUUUCUGCAGCAGGAGACCAGCCUCACUGGACAUAACUGUAGCUUGCCUUUGGUUCUCUAAGGCUUGGAAGCAAAACGGGGACUUCAUCCCAAUAGGACUGCAGAGAUGAACGAGGCAAGGUGCAGCUGAUCAUCCCUCAAGCGGAUAACCUGGGGGUCCCUGAGCAUGUGAGAGGCAGUUCUGCAGAGCGGCCCUCAAAGCUGCAGAUGGACAGAGCAGUCCAGCCUUUCUCAACAUCACUGGGCUAAACUGCAAUAUACAAAUAAAUAAGACUGUCAAGACUUACUAUAUACACCAACAGUAAAUAUAUGUUAGAAUUUUCUGUCAAAUAAGAAUUCAAUGAGGGACUUCCCUGGCGGUCCAGUGGUGAAACUUUGCGCUUCCAUUGCAGGGGGCACAGGUUCAAUCCCUGGUUGGGGAAAUAAGAUCCCGCAUGCCACACGGCCAAAAAAAAAAAAAUUAGGAAAAAAGAAAAAGAAUUCGAUGAAACUUUAAAAAAUUUCGUUCCCUUUGAAGUUUUAUUCCUUUAUAAAUUUCAGGACAAUAGAUGCGAACAGAAAAAAUAUAUAUACAAUUUUGCUUUUCUUAUUUAUUUUCAUCAGCAUUUCAAGUGAAAGGUCAUCAGAAAUCCAAUACAGAAAAGAAAGAGGAUCAGAAGAAAUAAUACAAAUGUCCAUCAACAAAAAGUUUGGUUAAAUAAUUUGCAAUAAAUCCAUAAAACAGAACACUGGGUAGUAAAGAGAGUAUGUGGAUCUAAUUUUAUUGGCAUGGCAAUGUAAGGAUGCAAACACUCACCAACUAGGAAAUGGUAAAUUCCACAGGCUUGAUGAUAAUCCUAGGCAAAAUUCUAGAAACAGAUGAUUAAAUGGACGAUUGGUCAGCAGUUUGGAAAGGAAGUAGGGAGCAAGCUCAGUUCCUUAGAUUCAGUGGCUCUGUUGACGUCGUGUCCUGUGCCACAUCUAGC